CCCUGUCUCAAAAAAAAAGAAAAAUUAGCUGGACUAGAGUAUCACUUGGUCCCAGGAGUUCAAGGUUACAGUGAGCUAUGAGCACACCACUGCACUCUAAUCUGGCUGACAGAGUGAGAACCUGUCUCCAAUAACUAAUAAUAAUAAUAAUUUUAAAAUAUAAAAUGACACAUAGUUUACAUAUUUUUCUUAAGUUGUGAUGGAGAACCUUCAUAAUAAUAUGAAAAAUCCAAUAUAUUAUUCCUUAGGGUCUUAGUUAUUAAUCUCAUUAUGAUGUCAUAACAGAUGUUGGCACUCAGCUCUAGGUAGAGAGAAGAGGUGGCAUUGACAAUUUAAAAAUGAUUUUAAAAUCAGUCAUUUUCUAAUUCUAUUUAGUAGUAACAGUAGCACUGUAGUAAUUGCUGCAGUAGUAGCAGUUAACAUUUACUGAGUUCUAACACAUAAAAAACUGUACUAAACACUACACAUAUAUAUCAUUUAAUCCCCAAAAUAGCUAAUGUUGGAGGUAUAAUUUUACAGAUGAGGAAAUGAAAUGGCAAGAGGUUACAAAAUGUAUCCAAAGUUAGAGGACUCAAACCAAAUCAGUCUGAUAGCAAAGUCACUGCUUUUAACUACAAUGUCAGUGAUCUCAAAGUGUGGUCCCCAGACCAGCAGCAUCAACAUCACCUGAGAAUGUGUUAGGAAUGCAGAUUCUCAACCCUCAUCCCCAUCAGCUGAAUCAGCAACUCUGGAGGUGGGGACACAUUUGUCACAUUCUCUCUAGGUAAUUCCAAAGUCCACUGACAUUUGACAACCUCUGUACUAUGCUAAGCUGCAUUUAGAAGAAGUACCAAACACUGAGUAAACAUUAGUUGUGCAAUUAAGCAAAUGCGAUAACAGGAGAGAACUACCCAGCACAGCACAGAGCUCACAGUGAGCAGUAGCUUAUAAUAGUUUAUUUCUGUUAUAUUAAUACCCACCACAUCUGUCUAUUGUGAAGUUAGAUUAUUAAAAACUGUUCCUGAACUGCUAUCUGCAUUCUAAGUUGGGAGGGGAGAAGCCCAGCACACUGUACUUAGAAAGAAAUUAUCCUUCCGGGCCAACGAAGAUCUUGAGCAAUUGUUUUUUAGCUAAAAAACUAAUUCCACAUUUUGUAUUCAUCAAAAUGCCCAUUGCUUUAUCUGGAUUUGAGGGUAGGAGAAAUCCACAUAUUUGACAACAUUCCUUUGAAUGAAACUAAGAAGUAAUGUUGGUAGUGGUGGCCUGAGUGAUACAUGUGAUUGUGGCAGAGAUUAAUGGUGACCAAAGAAACUUAACAAGUUUUAAAAUUAUAAAAUAGGCCUCUCAGUGCCGCUUAAUCACACAGGUCCAGUGUGUGCUUGGUGUCUUUUCUGGGAGGCAGAGGAAGGCUCUCCUAAUCACAACAGACCUGCCCAGAAGGGCCUCUCUAUUUCUAGGAGUAUGAUAGCUUUUGGGGGGAAAAAAAAGAAAAUAAUGGAUGCUGCCGGGUGCGGUGGCUAAUGCCUGUAAUCCCAGCACUUUGGGAGGCUGAGGUGGGCAGAUCACGAGGUCAGGAGUUCAAGAUCACCAUGGCCAACAUGGUGAAACCCCGUCUCUACUAAAAAUACAAAAAUGAUUUAGGUGUGGUGGUGGGCGCCUGUAAUCCCAGCUACUCAGGAGGCUGAGGCAGGAGAAUCG
rnacentral:lncRNA from 10 species